GAUUCCUUGCUGAAGAUGCAAACUUAAACUUGUAUCUGUGAAAGUCUACAGACUGAUCUGCUCACAAAUUUACACUGUUAAUGGCAGCAACUGAAACUCCUAGUAGAGGUUUCAAAGAAUGACAAUAACCAUGUUUACCACAAAACCCAGUCUGUAACCCUUGCUAACCUGAUACUACAGCAGCUGUGGAGUCAGUCAAAAACAACAAAAGGUUCCUUUCUAUGUCAAUGUCAAGAAGAGGGCUGCGGUCUGCCCUGAACCUCCCCUGCACUGCCAGCUGUUUCAGGACCCUGCAGACAUGGCCCGGCAAGGAGAGAUGUGACUCCACCUCUGGAUAAUACACAAGGCAGCAGCUGGCAACUGAGAUUACAAUGUCCUGGGAAUUCUGCAACGCUCCUGUCCAGAGCAGGGUCAUCUUUUUCGACCCUUUGGUUUCCAUCUAAUGAAUACAACUUUCUCAGAUACUACUGUCUUCAUUCCUUUUCCAGUGAACUGGUGCACUAUGGAGUCAUUUAAGAAUCCUGAUUGUACGACUUAGCUCUCUGAUCUGGGGGCUUCUAAAUCCCAUUGUGGAAUGAUGUAGAGUCAUGGAUGGUUUCUCUGAAGCUGCUGAACUUCCUCAGGUAAAGAAUUUUUAACAUGUGGUAUAAUAUAUUACAUGUAAAAAAUGAAGCAUUCAGGAAAAAAGAUGAGACAUUCAGAAUGUAGUACAAUUGAUUUUCUAAUAAUUAUGAUCAAUGGCUCUUUUUAGCCAUUCCCAGACUAGUCCAUGUCUUAUAUUUAACUGUGUAAUCUGUGUUAACCAAUGCA